GACAGAGGGUGCGAACGUUGUUCGGAAUUACUGGGCGUAAAGCGCGUGUAGGCGGCAGCGCAAGUCGGGCGUGAAAUCCCACGGCUCAACCGUGGAAGUGCACUCGAAACUGCGCUGCUAGAGUCCUGGAGAGGAAGGUGGAAUGCUUGGUGUAGAGGUGAAAUUCGUAGAUAUCAAGCGGAACACCGGUGGCGAAGGCGGCCUUCUGGACAGUGACUGACGCUGAGACGCGAAAGCGUGGGGAGCAAACAGG
rnacentral:rRNA from 1 species